UGAAAUAUAAUUAUUUGAUAUGAUUAUGUACAUUUGCGUAUAUUAUAUUUUACAUAAAUAUUACUUUCUAGAUUUCAAACAUUGGGACAAGAUGCGACUUUGUUAAAACAGUCCUUCCCACAAAGCAAAUUAAAUAAAAUUUGGAAUUUGCAGAGGGUUAAAGUGGUAACAAAAACAGGACAGUAAGAACAAGACAGUAAAAACAAAUGGCUGAUAAUGGGUUCCAAGCUGAAGCAACAUACUGUUAUUGAGUUCUUGCCAAAGGAGAGAUGCAUGCUGUUGGACAUCCACAAAAGUUUGUUUCCAGAGAUGACACCAUUGACAAUAACAAUAUGCAAAGAUUGAUGAUGAAGUUUAAAGAAGGAAAAUCAGCACUGACGACAAACUAUGUGGUGGGAAACCAUCAACUGCAAUCACUCACAUGAAUCACCAGCAAGUGGACAAAUUGAUUUGUGCAGAAAGCUGAGUCACAACUGCUCCACAGCUGGUUGCACAACUGAUCUGUGGUUACAAUGCAUGACAGGAAAUAAUAGAAGGCUUUGGGUAUUGGAAAGUGUGGACAAAGUGAGUGCCUCAGCAGCUGUGCCCCAAUUUAAAAGUUGGAAGUCUACUCUGAUCUGCUGGGAGCAUUUGAAGCCAACAAAAACAUUUUUUUUUUCUGAUCUGGUAAUAACUAAUGAAAUGUAGCUAUAUCUUUAUGAUUGGGAAAUGAAGGCUCUGUCCAUAGAAUGGAAUCACCUCUUCUUCAAGACCUAAGAAGUUCAAGAGCUAGACAUCAGCUCAGAAAGUCAUGGUGACUUAUGUGGGAUGACAAGGGCUUCUUUCUCUUUGAUUUUCUGGAAGGUGACUAUCUUGAACAGUGAGUGGUACAUAAAAACAGAGACAUUGAAAUAGUUUGGAAGAGACCAAACAAGAACCCAGAAACAAUUCACAUUCACCAUGACAAUACAUGACUACACAUCUUUGACAACAAAUCAGGCAAUUGGCAAAUUGUGCUGGUCAGCGUUUCCUCCCUCCACUCUACAACUUGGACCUGGUGCCCUCUAAUUUUUACCUGUUUGGUCUAAUGGAGGACAGUUUUCAAGGACAAUGAUUUGAUGACAUUGACAAGUUGAUACCUGCCAUUAUGCCUCUAAGCCUUUCAUGUCCUUGCUGCAGUCACCCACUGUUCCUCCAAUUCCUCUCUCCCUCCUCACUACUACCCAUCUAGGGUGCUUUUGCAGCAUUCACACUCUUCUCUUCUUCCUUCUACCCCCAUGACACCCUCCAGUGUCUCCUUCUUGCACCUUGCCCUGUCUUUUUGUCUCUUACUCCUAUCUCCUUCAUGGCUUCUCUGCCUCCUCAACUCCCUUCUCAUUUUCUAUCCCUGAUGUACUCCAAUGAACUCCCAUAUCUCUCUUUCCUUCAAUGGUUGACUUAAGAUUCUUCAUCACCCUAGUCCAUUACUCCCUUCCUUCCCCCUUUCACUCACACUUCCUAUCCAUACUUGAUACUUAUGGUAUUGGAUAACCCUAGAACCAUCUCCUUACAAAACCCACUCUGUUACAUUUUAACUCCAUCCCUUCUCAAUAACAGCCGUUAAUAAUUCCUUCCUUUGCUCCUUUUCCCUGCCACACUUCUCCAUCCUCUCCUCUUUCUUACCAUCCCACAUUCCUCGGUUAUAGGGGUUACUUUAGGCCCUUACAUCUUGCAAAAUAUAAGGCUGUCAUCACUAGUGCUAAUAAAAAAGCACCCAGCACACUCUGUAAAGUGAUUGGUGUUAGGAAGGGCAUGAAGCCAUAGAAGCAUUGCUGACACUUUGACUCACUAGAACCUGUCAAACUGUCCAACUCAUGGAAAAAAUCAACCCAGUAUUUUUUUAAAAGUCUGGUACUUAUUCCAUUGCAUUUUCCACCAAACUGCUAAGUUAUGUGCACAUAAAUAAACCAGUACCACUUGUCAAGCAAUGGUAGGGAACAAACACAAAGAUGUUCGCAAAUACAUACAUAUGCACAUAUCAUCAUCUUAAUGGAAAAGUGAAUGUUAAAAUGAUGAUGAUGAUGAUGAUAUAUGGCCUUCCAUUCAAUCUCCAUCUACCAGAUCUACUCAGAGGGUAUUUGUCAGCUUGAGACUAUAAUAGAUGAUUUUUAUGUUACACACUGUAUUGUACACGGGACAAUACACUCUACACUGUAUACUACAUACUGUAUUAUACAGUGCUAUUCAUUAUAUUAUGCACACUACAAUACACUAUUAUACUCUACUGUAUAAGAUUCCUAAGCUUAGUCCAUUUGGCUCUAAAUAGGAACCAUAAGUAGAUAUAUGUUACCAGUGUAAACAAUAGGAACACUAAUUCUGAAGAGAUGCGAUUAAAAACUUAAAGGUUUUAUGUUAUAAAAAAAUAUGAAAAAACGUACAGUAUAUAUGAUAAGUUACUUGAGAAUUUUUAUAAUUUAUUAAUUUGUAUGGUAAAAGAUGGUUUUAAAAUAUUGAUAUUGGUUUCAAAUUUUGGCACUAGUCUAUUAUUUUCUGGGGAGCAGAUAAGUCAAUUAUAUUGCAUUAGUGUCAAAUUAAUAACACAAUUAAUUACCUACCUACCUACCCAGCCACCCACAUACAUACAUAGUAUCUGAAUGGAAUAACAGGUAGGCAACGAUAAAAUCUGUAUAGUCAUAAUGUCUGUACACAGUAAUAAUAUUUAUGUAUACAAUGAUAACAUCUGUAUACAAUGAUUAUAGCUGUAGAGAAUGAUGUUGCUGAGAAGAGUAAUCUGUAUAUGAUGGUUAUAUAUAUAAUGGUAAUAUAUUCAAUUCUAAUAAGGGUAAAUAUUGUUGAUGUUAUGAUCCCGUUUCUUAGGAAUCGAACCAGUUUUUGAUUCUCAACAGAAAUGUUUAAUCUCAUCUCUCAUUAUUGAUGUUGUUGGGUAAAACAUAAUCUUGUGAGGACAAACGGUACAAUUACUUCAGCCAGACUAAAUCAAAAAAAAAAAAAAAGUUUCUCCCUUCAAAACUUCCAAGCUUUGUAUUAAUGUCUUCACAAACAUUGACUAAAAGCUUUUCCCAAUUUCAGUUACAAAAGUAUCUUCUGAUAUUUUUUACUUUCCUCCAGUUCAAGAUGUUCUCAGCUAUCUGACCGAUGAUGGGUUUUAUCUCAGUAGUAUAAGAGUUGUCUCCCUUACAUUAGCUUACUCGGCCGUAAUCUGACGUAUUUGAAGCGAGUGUGACAGAUAGUGGAAUAGUUGAAAAUAACUCGGUGACAGAUCAGCUACGAUAUCAACCACCACUAUGCAUUUGUCAUACACUCUCCUUACACUCUUCCUCCCUCUUCAACCAUUUAGCUGCAACGCUUCCAACAAAUCUUCCUCAACUAUCCCGGUUAAGAGAGUACUGGAUAAAAAAUAAAAAAAUAAUUAUUUAAAAUCACACAUAUACAUACAUGAGGAUGUACAAGUUGUCAGAGAGGGUCAGAGCCUUGCCAAUUUCUUUUUAAGACAACUUAACUCUCAGUGGCUCUCCUUUAGUAUCCAGUUCUCAUUUGUGGCUCCAUGGCCUGCAUGUUGUUGUGUGUUACCGUCUGGACUAUGGCAUUAGCAUUCUAGCAAAAUCCAGCUUGCCAACUGAGGGUAGUUGAGGAGUCAAACUCUUGGUAAAAUUUUUUAAGGGCUUGUCACUCCAUGCAUGUGAAGACUGAAUUUCCAACAGAUUAUCUGGAGGAAACCCAACUUUCAGCCGUUGAUAUCCAGUAAUAUCAUCACUGUGGGAUGUAUACCACAGAGCAUGCUGAAAUGUGUAGAUCAAUUAAUACUACUGCAUCCCAGGGAUACUUACAGUGCAUCUGUUAACAAUAUUGCAAGCCCUUCGAAAUAAUUCCAUGUCUAUCAGUAUAACUGAGCUGUUUGAAGUAGCUCUGCUAUAUUUACUAGUGGUUCUGGUAUUGGUGGUGUUGUUACUACCCUUCACUGCUAUGGAAGCAGUUGUAGCAAGACUCAUUUCUGUUCUGGCUUUUUAUGUUCAGCUAACCAUAAAUAGACUCCACACGUUAAUCUUGAUUGUCUGACCUACCACAUGAGUUUUGAACAUUUGGUUGAGUCUUGUAUUUUGAUUGUUUGAGUAUAGCACGGGAUAUGGAUCUCAGAUCCAGUCAUGUUGAGCAUAAUACAUCCUUAAACAAUUUUUUUCUGAGCCCUUUUUUGCCUAUAAAUAGCUUUAUCAAAUCAUUUUUGGGCAGUGAGGUGAGAGAUUUUCCUGAAGCAUGUCAUAUUUUCCUGCUGUUAUAAUGAAGCACUUGCAACCAACGAUGGCCAGAGUUGAAUUAUCCUAACAAUGGAUAAUCUAUACAACCAACAGAAUCCAUUUAGUCCAUUGUAUAAUGUAGCAGAGGAAUAAAGUCUUGCUGUUAUUUUAAA